rnacentral:tRNA from 1 species
UUAAAUGAAACCAAAUAGAGGUAUAUUACUGUUAAUAAUAUAAUUGUAAAAUUUUUACCAUUUAAA